rnacentral:rRNA from 1 species
CGUGCAGGCGGCCUAGUAAGUCGGGCGUGAAAUCUCUCGGCUCAACCGGGAGGGGUCGUCCGAAACUACUAGGCUUGAGGGCAGUAGAGGGAGGUGGAAUUCCCGGUGUAGUGGUGAAAUGCGUAGAGAUCGGGAGGAACACCAGUGGCGAAGGCGGCCUCCUGGGCUGUCCCUGACGCUCAGACGCGAAAGCUAGGGGAGCGAACGGGAUUAGAAACCCCGGUAGUCCUAGCUGUAAACGAUGCAGACUGGGUGUUGGCAGAUUAAACCCUGCCAGUGCCGUAGCCAACGCGUGAAGUCUGCCGCCUGGGGACUACGGUCGCGAAGGCUAAA